rnacentral:hammerhead_ribozyme from 1 species
UUCCAGCUGACGAGUCCCAAAUGAGACGAAGUGUGCAUCCUGGAU